AGUGAACGCUGGCGGUAGGCCUAACACAUGCAAGUCGAACGGCAGCACAGUAAGAGCUUGCUCUUACGGGUGGCGAGUGGCGGACGGGUGAGGAAUACAUCGGAAUCUACUUUUUCGUGGGGGAUAACGUAGGGAAACUUACGCUAAUACCGCAUACGACCUACGGGUGAAAGCAGGGGAUCUUCGGACCUUGCGCAAUUGAAUGAGCCGAUGUCGGAUUAGCUAGUUGGCGGGGUAAAGGCCCACCAAGGCGACGAUCCGUAGCUGGUCUGAGAGGAUGAUCAGCCACACUGGAACUGAGACACGGUCCAGACUCCUACGGGAGGCAGCAGUGGGGAAUAUUGGACAAUGGGCGCAAGCCUGAUCCAGCCAUACCGCGUGGGUGAAGAAGGCCUUCGGGUUGUAAAGCCCUUUUGUUGGGAAAGAAAAGCAGCAGGUUAAUACCCCGCUGCUCUGACGGUACCCAAAGAAUAAGCACCGGCUAACUUCGUG
rnacentral:rRNA from 1 species